UUCGUUCAUACGUUCGUUCGUUCGUUUCACGCAAUAUAUCGGACACACUGUUUCAUGAUUCGUUCAUUUACUGAACGUUUACCUGCACUUCGGUUAAAACCUAUGCCUAACCUAGAAAGAAAUAAUAAAACACCGUGCGUAGUAUUAAUUCUUUAUGAAUAUUAUAUGUACAUGAUGUUUAUUUUAAAUUCUAUUUUGUUUAAUUAUUUGAACAGUUUUUCUUAAAGUGCCUCAGUUUUCCAUAAAUGUAUAUUUUAAACAAACAACAUUUUUCUUCUACAUAUUAUGAUUUAGAAACAAAAUCUGAGAAAUUUUUUUUGUUUCUAACCUAUUUCUUCUGUCAGUUACUACCUGCCCAGCUUUAGAAAACAGCCUUUCACAUGACCACCAUAAUAAUGGAUUCUCAUGACGGUUUAUUAAUGGUUCUUUUAAAUAUUUAUCCAUCUCUAUUAUUGACGCUGCUGUUGAAUUAUUACUACCAGUUAUAUGAUUAACAGUUUUAUCAAAAUCACCCCAAACUGCAGAUGAUGUAGAAGAAAUUGGUUCGGCUGAUAUUAAUUCGUAAGAAUUGGUAUUAGAAAAUGCAUGGCUCUUAAACCUGGGAUCAAGAAGAGUANC